GCCGGCUAGCAGUGGUAAACAAAAACACCGUUAGGUUUCUGAGUUUCGCUUCUUUUGUAUCAUAUUAUUUUUAAUCGCAACAGUGUUAAGACUCCUUAAUGUAAAUACUGUACCAGUGGCCAUUUUAAAGCCCGUCAUUAACUAACUUACGUGAUUAAUACGAAGUUAAACCGUGCUAACGUUAGCUAGCAAGAAUAGCAUCUCCGCUAGCUUAAAGUGAGCGGCCCCAGCGGUGCUGUGUUGUAACUCCCUCAGUACAAACUGAGAAUGUUGAGUGAGGACAGAGACACACACCCGACAACUGCCACUGACGGGAAAUGUCCGACACAAUAGCAGUGUUUUCCCCGUCCUGAAAGCUACAGCCCCGCCAGGGAGGAGAGAACAUAAGAUGCACUGACCACAUCUUUGCACGCUCACCAAGAUCUGGAGAGGAAGGACGAUCACUUGGACAGCCGUGAUGACACUUACCCUUAUCAUUGUAAAGUCAUAUUUUG